AAAUUGAAGAGUUUGAUCAUGGCUCAGAUUGAACGCUGGCGGCAGGCCUAACACAUGCAAGUCGAACGGUAACAGGAAGCAGCUUGCUGCUUCGCUGACGAGUGGCGGACGGGUGAGUAAUGUCUGGGAAACUGCCUGAUGGAGGGGGAUAACUACUGGAAACGGUGGCUAAUACCGCAUAACGUCGCAAGACCAAAGAGGGGGACCUUCGGGCCUCUUGCCAUCAGAUGUGCCCAGAUGGGAUUAGCUUGUUGGUGAGGUAACGGCUCACCAAGGCGACGAUCCCUAGCUGGUCUGAGAGGAUGACCAGCCACACUGGAACUGAGACACGGUUCAGACUCCUACGGGAGGCAGCAGUGGGGAAUAUUGCACAAUGGGCGCAAGCCUGAUGCAGCCAUGCCGCGUGUAUGAAGAAGGCCUU
rnacentral:rRNA from 1 species